rnacentral:snRNA from 1 species
GGAUGUGAGGGCAACCUGGCUAUGACAUAUGUCAUUUAUUGAUCACCAGGGUUGAUUCAGCUGUUCUGGCCAGCUAAGCAGGUGUCCCCUUCCUCCCUCACCACUCCAUGUGCAUCCUUCUCAAGGCUGCAUGGUCAGUCAAAGAGGACAACAUUUUCUGAUAGAAGAUGACCAUUCUUUGGUCAAGAGUAUAUGAGUAGCUGUGCUCCCUUGCUAGAACCUUCAAACAAGCUCUCAAUGUCCAUGUGUAGGAGAAUGUAGAGCAGUCAAGCUUCCAAGACUCCAGACAUACCUAAAUGAUGUGCUGUAUGUAGCAAUCUGCCUUUCUUA